CCCCUAUCUAAUAUCGCACAGGACUCUCAAAUUCAUCUGAAGUGGGGAUCAAGGGUUGGUGGAAAGGAACAAUAUUUUGUUCAAUCAAAUAGCUUUUUCAAUUCUUUUUUUUUUUGGGGGGGGGGGGGGGGGAGACACUCUCUGUGCACCCCUGAAUCUGCCACUUAUCUUUAUCGUGCCCUUUCCAUCUCCAAAAGAAGGGUGGCCAUUUUAUUACCCAACAGGUACAGGCCAUUCAUUAGGAGGCGGUACCCGGUACUUUUACCCUCCUAUGCUAUUGACAAGUACCGCCUAAAUGUAGAAAUUUUUAUAUAAGAUAUUCAUGGAAUAUAUUGAAAAGUACCACCUAGAAACAUGGAAAGUACCAGUCAACAUGAAAGAUAAUGAAACCCCUGCAGGUAUAUGAAACUAAAGCAGCCUUUGUCUUGUCAAAUCUUGAUCCCACUCCCAUACCCCCAUAUCUUCAGCGUUUAUUACUUCUACACAUAAAGUAAAGGUGACUACACCUGAUUAUUUUCUUGUCGAAUUUUUAUCCCCCCCUUUUUUUCUUCACAUGAAACCAUUCCUUCUAAAUCAAACUCUUCUCUAUAUCUAUCUCUUCUUUACAUAAAGUAAUAGUGACCACACCGGAUUAUUUCCUUGUCCACUUUUUACCCCCCCCCUUUUUUUUCUUCACAUGAAACCAUUCCUUCUAAAUCAAACUCUUCUCUAUAUCUAUCUCUUCUUUACUCAAAGUGAUGGUGACCACACCUGAUUAUUUCC
rnacentral:lncRNA from 1 species